ACUAUAUUCUACUGACACAGACCCUUGUACUUCAUUAUCAACUACCCCUUCAUCAAUAUUAACAUCAACAUCAACUAGUCCUUCAUCCACUUCUUCUUCAUCAACUACUCCAUGACGAACUUCACCAUGCACCACCCCUUCAUCCACUUCUUCUUCAUCCACUUUCCCGUCUUUUUCAAUAACAACUUCCUCCUCCUCCACCCCAACAUUCUGUUCAAC
rnacentral:lncRNA from 1 species